rnacentral:rRNA from 1 species
AUACGGAGGGGGCAAGCGUUGUUCGGAAUUACUGGGCGUAAAGGGCGCGCAGGCGGUUUCGUUAGUCAGGCGUGAAAUCCCCGGGCUCAACCCGGGAACUGCGUUUGAUACUGCGGAACUAGAGAUCGGGAGAGGGUAGUGGAAUUCCCAGUGUAGAGGUGAAAUUCGUAGAUAUUGGGAAGAACACCAGUGGCGAAGGCGGCUACCUGGACCGAAACUGACGCUGAGGCGCGAAAGCGUGGGGAGCAAACAGGAUUAGAAACCCCAGUAGUCC